rnacentral:rRNA from 1 species
UACGUAGGGCGCAAGCGUUGUCCGGAAUUAUUGGGCGUAAAGAGCUCGUAGGCGGCUUGUCACGUCGGGUGUGAAAGCCCGGGGCUUAACCCCGGGCCUGCAUUCGAUACGGGCUGGCUAGAGUGUGGUAGGGGAGAUCGGAAUUCCUGGUGUAGCGGUGAAAUGCGCAGAUAUCAGGAGGAACACCGGUGGCGAAGGCGGAUCUCUGGGCCAUUACUGACGCUGAGGAGCGAAAGCGUGGGGAGCGAACAGG